UGAAAAUAAUGGAGUUCCCUGAAAAUAAGCAGAAUAAGAUGACCUUUAACCUGGGAGUUUAUGGAUUAUUUUACUAUUGGCAAAGAGGGCUGCACAAUACUGGACUAAGCUGGGAACUGAGAGUGUGUAAGUGCAGUAACAGAAGGAUAAGCAGGUUGCAAUUCCUCCCCCUGAAGAAAUUUCCUGGCAGCGAGUUCAGCAGGUUUGAAAAGAGAAAACAAGUUGCAGACUGUAGGAGGUCUUUAGAGAAAAACAUAUAACUUUAGAAUGUGGGAGCUCUUGCUCUCAAGAAGGAUUCCAAGAGCAGCUCAGCUGUGUUCUGUGUGCCACCUGUACACCCCUGGUUAACCAUUAAUUUGUGCCUCGCAUUUGCCUCUGAGAGCUUCCAGAGCAGUUGGGCAAGACCAGAGAGCACUGGGGAAAGCGUGGGAGUGGCUGGGUGCUGCUGCAGAUGCUGCCGCGUUGAUGAGACAAGGAGAGAGGAUCCAAGCGAGGUCCAUCCAGCAGCGAGUUCCUCUCCUCCCACCACCCCGGCUUAGACAUAGCACUCGUGCUGCAGCCACCCUGCCAGAGCCCCCUGGGUGAGACGGGACCCUGGGCAAACACCCUCCUACGUCCUUCUUCCCUGCUGCCACAAGCAAUCUGUCACUCCUCUCCCCGAACCACCCUCCACCUACGUACAAAGCCAUAACUGUAAGGAACGCCCUCUUCCCUCCUCCCUUUCCUCCCCACGAGCCUGUUCUCCGUGGGUGAAAAAUGCUAUCUUCACAGAGAUCUGGUCACCCCCGACUUUGGCUUUGAGACCCAAGCUGUUUGAUACCUUUUAGGACUACAGCUUGGAAAGCUCUUCGUGCAGAUCUAUUGUGUUCGUUUUUCAAUUGCAUAUAAUUGCACGUGUGCAGGUGGGAAGGGGCUAUUUGCUUCCCACUCGCUUUGAUACGCCUCCCUUCCUAAGCGGAUCGCUUCCUUCCCUUUCUGCUCUCAGGCUCCCACGCAUUUAGCAAUGAGAAAUGCUGCAGAAAACUGACCAGCUCCCAACCCGCCCACCUGAGGAGGAGGAGCACCAGCAGCAGCGGCACAUUUCUCUCGCUCUCAGCUUUUCAAACACAGUUAAAAAGAGCUGUAGCGUGGGUGGAAAUAGCUGUAGGGAGUGCGUGUGGGAAUGGGGCUAGAGGAAAGUGCAUUUUUUCUUGGUAGGACAGUUAACUUCUAGUGGACAAAAAAAAUACCCCAAAGAUAUCUCACUGCUGAUGGUGCCUCUGGCUGUAUAACUCUUGAGUUUCCCAGGUGUGGAAAGGAUGAAGCAGGCAAUGAAGCAAGUGACGGCAGGGAAGCUUGCCUUCCAGACUUCAGGAGUCUGCUUAGCAAAUGGUAUCUGUACUGCAUCUCCUUGUGUCAUCACGUCUGCUGUUCUGCUCUCGAUGUGUGCUUGAUUCUGUUAGAGUCAGAGCUGCCUGUAUGUAGGAAGAGAAAAAGGCAUGUGGUUUUCACACCAUGUGGGUCUGUAUUUCAAAAUACUGUCCCUGUUGGACCUCUUGAAAUAGCACUGUCCCAGAAUAUCAGUUAAUUCAAGAUUUAC